CACUCGAUCACAUAGGGAAAAAAAUAUUGUAAAGUUAGAAUGGUUUAAUGUUACCCUCAGGAUUUUCUUUUCUUUUUCUUUUGUUUGUGAGGUACAAUGGUGUCCAAGUCAUACUAAAAAAUACUAGAAGAUGUUUGUCAAGGACUGGUGUAAUUUAAGUAAUUGAGAUCUCUGAGCUGCAUGAUAUGUAGUAAAAUUGACCAUUCUAUACUAAGUGGAUGGUGAUUAAAAUAACUGCUGUCUUUGCCAUAUAGUACCUUCUCUCAAUUUGGAUAAGGAAAUGACGUGGUUAUUUUAAAUUUCAAAUAGGCUUCACAAGAUCUGUACGACUUUAUUCAUUCAAAAUUGCCAUAAAUUCAUUAUUUUAGUUCCUUUUGGUUAACAUAGAGGAUAACAUAUGUUCCUCCAAUCCUAUAUUUUUGUGUUGGACUAGUUGAUCUUGUUAGUUAUAAGUGUUAAAUAUGCCUGCCAUAUUCUUUCUUCUUGUCUAAGACUGCUAUAAAGUUGCUCCAUGACUGAUGUAUUGUCAUGC
rnacentral:lncRNA from 1 species